CAGUAGCCGCGGUAAUACGAAGGGUGCAAGCGUUACUCGGAAUUACUGGGCGUAAAGCGUGCGUAGGUGGUGGUUUAAGUCCGUUGUGAAAGCCCUGGGCUCAACCUGGGAAUUGCAGUGGAUACUGGGUCACUAGAGUGUGGUAGAGGAUAGUGGAAUUUCCGGUGUAGCAGUGAAAUGCGUAGAGAUCGGAAGGAACAUCUGUGGCGAAGGCGACUAUCUGGGCCAACACUGACACUGAGGCACGAAAGCGUGGGGAGCAAACAGGAUUAGAUACCCGCGUAGUCCCUGUCUCUUAUAU
rnacentral:rRNA from 1 species